CGAGUAUAAAACCUUGAUCGAUAGGUCUGGGUAAUCUUGUGAAUGCGCAUCGUGCUAGGGAUAGACUGUUGCAAUUUUCAGUCUUGAACGAGGAAUUCCUAGUAAACGCAAGUCAUCAGCUUGCAUUGAUUACGUCCCUGCCCUUUGUACACACCGCCCGUCGCACCUACCGAUUGAAUGACUCGGUGAAAAAUUGGGACCGUGAGUCUGUUUGCUUAAUUGCGAGUGGAUUGAUGGGAACUUUUUUAAACCUCGCCAUUUAGAGGAAGGUGAAGUCGUAACAAGGUUUCCGUAGGUGAACCUGCGGAAGGAUCAUUACCACACCUAAAAACUUUCCACGUGAACUGUAUC
rnacentral:rRNA from 1 species